rnacentral:rRNA from 1 species
UACGUAGGGGGCAAGCGUUGUCCGGAUUUAUUGGGCGUAAAGAGCGUGUAGGCGGCCAUGUAGGUCCGUUGUGAAAACUCGAGGCUCAACCUCGAGACGCCGAUGGAAACCAUGUGGCUAGAGUCCGGAAGAGGAGAGUGGAAUUCCUGGUGUAGGCGGUGAAAUGCGCAGAUAUCAGGAAGAACACCCGUGGCUAAGGCGGCUCUCUAGUACGGUACUGACGCUGAGACGCGAAAGCGUGGGGAGCGA